rnacentral:rRNA from 1 species
GAUGAACGCUGGCGGUGUGCCUAAUACAUGCAAGUCGAGCGAACAGACGAGGAGCUUGCUCCUCUAACGUUAGCGGCUGACGGGUGAGUAACACGUGGAUAACCUACUUCUAAUACUGGGAUAACUUCGGGAAACCGGAGCUAAUACCGGAUAAUAUGUUGAACCGCAUGGUUCAAUAGUGAAAGACGGUCUUGCUGUCACAUAUAGAUGGACCCGCGUCGCAUUAGCUAGGUGGUAAGGGAACGGCUUACCAAGGCAACGAUGCGUAGCCGACCUGAUAGGGUGAUAGGCCACACUGGAACUAGACCCCGGCCCAGACCCCUACGGGAGGCAGCAGUGGGGAAUCUUCCGCAAGGGGCCAAACCCUGACGGGGCAAAGCCGCGGGGGUAAGGAGGGUCUUCGGUUCGUAAACCUCUGUUAUUAGGAAAGAACAAAUGUGUAAGUAACCCUGCAGGUCUGGACGGUACCUAAUCAGAAAGCCACGGCUAACUACGU